GUGUGCCGUAGGAUGCAGGAUUUAAUGGUCCAUCUUGCCUUGCGCAUGCAAAGCUGAUUUGUACCUAAACCUCAGGCACCGGUCUUGCUUUUGGUGCCAGGGGCUGUACAGACAGACCCUACAGACGGUCAUCCUUGUGCUGGGAGAUCAGCUCCUGUUCCUUGCUUCCAGGAUAUGUGUAACUGUUACAGCCUGAGACCUUUGCUGGUUCCUUUGCAAAUAUAAAUUUGAAUGCAGAAGCAGUGAUUUUCACCUGCUCCAGGCUUGGGCUCACAUCUCUGCCUUCUGGUUCCUGGACUUCAGCAAACAGCCUUCGCUCCAGCUCGGGGCAAAGCCUCAACCCAGCUGCUGGUAGAGGCAGGGUUAGUUUCAUGAGGUCUGCUGUCAAAAAUCCUCCCCAUGUUCGCAUUGUGCAGCCAAUGUGCUUGGUGCUGUACAAAGAUGAAGGUAGGUCUAGCUUUAGUAGUGACCCCCCGGUGAAGGAAUUGUAAGGGUUUGUCUUCUGAGUCUUAGCAGAAACGGUCUGAGGGAGGACAUCUCUUUUAUUAAAUCAAUGGAGAGAGCAGGACUGUGAAGUCUGCCUGUGCCUGCUGCCCUGGGAUUUUCCUGUUACCAUCUGCUAACGAAGCAUUUGAUUUUUUUUCAGGGCUGUUCAGUGGGCAGAGGGGCUGUGGUGAUCUGGAGAUCAGGGCAUGGUGGGGAGAUGGAGGAGUGUUGUGUGGUGGAAGCAGGAGUCUACCUAUUGCACCUCUUUUUCUGUUAAGGCAAGAAGAGGAGUCCUGUCUUGGUCGUGGCUCUCAUCCAGCCCUCUCAUGCAGUCUCAGCAUGGUGCUGGGGCUCUCCAGCAGUGCCAGCCGAGGUCUGCAGGCUCAGGAGAAGAGCUGAUGAGCUGUGCUGCAGAAGCAGACAGAAGAUCCAUGGGGACAGAAAGAGAUGCCAGGAAAUCUGUAACACCUGAUGGCUCCAAAGUUAAUUGUCAAAGUCUGCAGGGUCAUCUCUGGCUAAGGUCAGCAGCAACCCAGAGGCUCUAGAUUACUUUCCUACCUGUAUGAACCUGUGAUAGAAAUCAUUGGCUUGUUCAAAAGUGCUGAUGUUACAAUGAUGACAGCAAAUCCAGCUGUUUCUUGUACACUGGUGGAAGUAAAAGACAGAAACCUGUUUUGGAAUCUGCCACGGGAGGGCGGUGAAUCCCCGGCAGCCUGCGGGAAAUAUCGCUCCGGGCUGCGGGGAGAGAUCCACGAAACGGGCUGUAGAGGUCACUUUGCACCAGGAGAUGGCUGGGGCUGAGACGUGAAAGUGUCCCGGUGGCUUUCUCCGAGGGGAAAGCAGAAACGGUAAGUUUGGCCCCAGCCUGAGUCUGAUGGCUUUUUAAAGACGGGCUGAGAUGCUUUUCCAAAAGGUCCUGCCGCUGGACCAAGGACCUUUGCAAAGGAAAGGGAUAAGAGAUGCUUACUGGGCAAACUGGGGAUGUGGGACUUUACUGGCAGCUAAAGUCAACCCCCCCACCCCCAAACUCUGCAAGGGACAGGCUGCUGGAGCCGAGAGCUCACCGAAGUGUGCCCACCGCAGGGCUGUGACUUGUUGGUGUGCGUGCACAUUUGCAACGUUUGCAUGCAUGUCUGUGUGGUUUCUAGGAGUCUGCUCAAAACUUAGGGCAUUUUAAAUGUCUUAAUGGCCAGGACGUUAAAAUGUUUGCAUCUGGUAAAGCAUCCCAGAGAGGGAGGUCCGGGGAAUGAGCAGAGACUGAGAUUUCCAUGCUCUCCUCUUUCUCCAUUCACACUCCUGUUUCCUGACCCCAUCGGAGGUCUUUAGGUGGAGGUGACGACAGACCCUGAUGCUCUCCGAAAGCCCAAAUGAAAAAUAUCCAUAGACUGUUUAGUCUUCUUUCCACCCCUUUUUGACAAGCUUGGGCAUUUCCCAAAUUUUCCCAAAGUCACUGGCAUUUUUAUUAAGCCUCUUGCAUGGUGGUGACACCACUGAUGGUGCCCAGCAAAUGCUGGGUGCUGCUGGUGACCAGUUUCGGUGCAAGCUGACAGUGGGCUCAAGCUUGUGGGGCUGUUGAGGUCUAAUGAGAUGGCCAGGAAAGGAAUGAGUGCCCUAAUGAGUGCAAUGCUCCAGCAUGAGCUAAACCUCUUACUAAACUCCAGAGAAUCCACAUAGCCACAGGACAUUUUGAAUACCCAACUCUGGGAGAAGCUUUUCAGAGUUUAUACCUUCCUGGACACCGGAGAAUCCAAGCAGGAGGUGUAAGGUCUGCAGAAAUCUGGCUUGUUCAGACUAGCUGCUCACAGGAUGGCUCUUUUUAAAUGCCUGUGGUUUUCUCUUUUACAAACCUGUCUUCUGUUCCCCCCACCCCUUACAGGUCAGGCAGAGGUUACAGGUUUUCUCUUCAUUUAUGAGGGUAAGAAAUGUGCAUUUUAUGUUAAACACUCUGAUACAAGAUGUUUUUCUGAACACAAUGGUCUUGCUAUUUCUUUACCCAAUUAUUUGCUGACUGGUAAUAGAUAAGAGUUCUGUACGCUACACAAUAUAUAAGAUACCAAAGAAAAAACUGCUUUCAGAUGGCCUUGCAGUGUCUAGAGAACUACGUCAUUAAUGUAGACAUAGAUAAUAGAGACACUAACGAGCAUUCUUUAGGAUAAGGUGUAUCAAAACACGUAGAAGAUCACACUGCGCAGAAUCAUCCGAGAAGGGUCAACCAACAGACAAAUGAAGAAGACUACAGAAGACCACCAGAAGACUCCUGAAGACCACCAAAGACCUCGAAUAUGCCUGCGUGAGGGACAUUUACAUAUGAUAAUGAGUUAAUGAAUAUGCAAAACUUUUCUCAGAAAUCUAAUGAAUAUUUAUAUAGAACCUGUAUAUAAACUAUACAAUUAACCUGAUCGGACGCACACAAUAGGAAGAGCGAUGCCCUGUGUGCCCAGUGCUACAAUAAAGGAUACCUGCUUAAUA